rnacentral:rRNA from 1 species
GACGAACGCUGGCGGUGUGCUUAACACAUGCAAGUCGAACGGUAAGGCCCUUUCGGGGGUACACGAGUGGCGAACGGGUGAGUAACACGUGAGUAACCUGCCCUCAUCUCUGGGAUAACAGUCGGAAACGGUUGCUAAUACUGGAUAUGAGCUUGCAAGGCAUCUUGUGGGUUGGAAAGAUUUUUUUGGUUGGGGAUGGACUCGCGGCCUAUCAGCUUGUUGGUGAGGUAGUGGCUCACCAAGGCUUCGACGGGUAGCCGGCCUGAGAGGGCGACCGGCCACAUUGGGACUGAGAAACGGCCCAACCCCCUGCGGGAGGAAACGGUGGGGAAUAUUGCAAAAUGGGCGGAAGUCGGGUGCAGCAACCCCGCGUGCGGGAUGACGGCCUUCGGUUUGUAACCCGCUUUCAAUGGUGACGAACCUUUUUGGGACGGUAGCAGUAAAAGAAGCACCGGCUAACUACGU